rnacentral:rRNA from 1 species
AGAAUCAACGCUGGCGGCGUGCCUAACACAUGCAAGUCGAACGAGAAAGUGGAGCAAUCCAUGAGUAAAGUGGCGCACGGGUGAGUAACACGUGACUAACCUACCCUUGAGUGGGGGAUAACCUAGGGAAACCUGGGCUAAUACCGCAUAAUACCUUCGGGUCAAAGGAGCAAUUCGCUUAAGGAGGGGGUCGCGGCCGAUUAGUUAGUUGGCGGGGUAAUGGCCCACCAAGACUGUGAUCGGUAUCCGGCCUGAGAGGGCGCACGGACACACUGGAACUGAAACACGGUCCAGACUCCUACGGGAGGCAGCAGUGGGGAAUUUGCGCAAUGGGGGGAAACCCUGACGCAGCAACGCCGCGUGGAGGAUGAAGUCCCUUGGGACGUAAACUCCUUUCGAUCGGGACGAUUAUGACGGUACCGGAGAAGAAGCCCCGGCUAACUUCGCGCCAGCAGCCGC